rnacentral:lncRNA from 1 species
AUUUCUUUUUUAUUGAGUGUAUCCAUACAUUUUUGUUUUAUCAGGUUUGAAAUAUUUUCGAUUAAAUUUUCCUAGUUUGAUUGACACACACAUAGGUAGUUGUUUUAUUUUAACUUUGAGCCUUUCUAAACUACCUUGUAGUAAUAGAUACAUACAUUGCUAACCACUUUGAGCUUAGCCUUUCUUUCGGUGACUUAUCCUUACUUCUUA